CCUACGGGUGGCAGCAGUGAGGAAUAUUGGUCAAUGGGCGAGAGCCUGAACCAGCCAAGUCGCGUGAAGGAUGAAGGACCUAUGGUUUGUAAACUUCUUUUAUAUGGGAAUAAAGUGAGGAACGUGUUCCUUUUUGUAUGUACCAUAUGAAUAAGCAUCGGCUAACUCCGUGCCAGCAGCCGCGGUAAUACGGAGGAUGCGAGCGUUAUCCGGAUUUAUUGGGUUUAAAGGGUGCGUAGGUGGUUAAUUAAGUCAGCGGUGAAAGUUUGUGGCUCAACCAUAAAAUUGCCGUUGAAACUGGUUGACUUGAGUAUAGUAGAGGUAGGCGGAAUGCGUGGUGUAGCGGUGAAAUGCAUAGAUAUCACGCAGAACUCCGAUUGCGAAGGCAGCUUACUAAACUAUAACUGACACUGAAGCACGAAAGCGUGGGGAGCAAACAGGAUUAGAUACCCUGGUAGUC
rnacentral:rRNA from 1 species